AUGUCGACUUGGAGGUUGUGCCCUUGAGGCGUGGCUUCCGGAGCUAACGCGUUAAGUCGACCGCCUGGGGAGUACGGCCGCAAGGUUAAAACUCAAAUGAAUUGACGGGGGCCCGCACAAGCGGUGGAGCAUGUGGUUUAAUUCGAUGCAACGCGAAGAACCUUACCUGGUCUUGACAUCCACAGAACUUUCCAGAGAUGGAUUGGUGCCUUCGGGAACUGUGAGACAGGUGCUGCAUGGCUGUCGUCAGCUCGUGUUGUGAAAUGUUGGGUUAAGUCCCGCAACGAGCGCAACCCUUAUCCUUUGUUG
rnacentral:rRNA from 1 species